GCUCUCCUCAAGAUCGCACCUGGAGAGUUUCCAGUCCUCUACCAGUCUCGGCUAAAGGAGGGAGAGUCAAGCAGAGGCCUGUCCAUUCCAUUCCCAGCUUGGGCAGUGGCUAGCGAGUAGAAGGCCAUCUGCUACAAGU